rnacentral:rRNA from 1 species
AUUGAACGCUGGCGGCAGGCCUAACACAUGCAAGUCGAGCGGAUGAAGGGAGCUUGCUCCUGGAUUCAGCGGCGGACGGGUGAGUAAUGCCUAGGAAUCUGCCUGGUCGUGGGGGAUAACGUCCGGAAACGGGCGCUAAUACCGCAUACGUCCUGAGGGAGAAAGGGGGGGAUCUUCGGACCUCACGCUAUCAGAUGAGCCUAGGUCGGAUUAGCUAGUUGGUGGGGUAAAGGCCUACCAAGGCGACGAUCCGUAACUGGUCUGAGAGGAUGAUCAGUCACACUGGAACUGAGACACGGUCCAGACUCCUACGGGAGGCAGCAGUGGGGAAUAUUGGACAAUGGGCGAAAGCCUGAUCCAGCCAUGCCGCGUGUGUGAAGAAGGUCUUCGGAUUGUAAAGCACUUUAAGUUGGGAGGAAGGGCAGUAAGUUAAUACCUUGCUGUUUUGACGUUACCAACAGAAUAAGCACCGGCUAACUUCGUG